ensembl:processed_transcript
AGCGCUGCGGAGGCUGAACGUCGAAACCGAAACCCCCUUUGCGAGAUUCGCUGCAUCUAUACCUGAUUUGCGUUCAAAAAUGCCUGCUUAAUUAUUUCAUAGUAGGAGCAAACAUGCCUUAAGAAAAGGAGUAGGUUUGAAACUUUAGUAACCAUAAAAAGUCCGCCAGGUGGAUGCCUUUCUACUCCAGGAAGCCGCAGCCUACGGCCUGAAGGAGGAAGAGGACGCGGUCAGUUUGAAAUAGCUGUUGUGAUAGAGCUGGACCUGUAGACAAGGGAACUAACACAUUUGAGGAAAAAAGAAUCCAAAAUAAGAGAUUGGUGUGUGUGGUGAGGGUAAAGAAGUCCACAUGCAGCAGCAUCUUGGAAAUGCUGUAAUGCAGGGGUGCCCAAAGUCAGUUGUGGACAGCUGGUGUCCUGCAGAGUUUAGAGUCAACUUCAACUAAACUCUGCAAGACAGCAGCAGUUCUAGACUGAGUUUAGCCACUCCUGUUCUCCUGUAGUGAACUGAACGAGACCCUGCAUCAGUCCACAUGCCCUUGUGUCCUCAUCUGGACCAGAUGUUGCUGUGGUCUCUUCAUCAUCCGUAUCUCGGGCAUGGACUGCCAUGCAUCACCGUCCUGUUUCAGUCUGACUGCAGCAAUGAGGGAUGUGAUGAUGGCGAAGUCCCUCUGAUCAUCUGAAGAACUGGCCCAGCUGUGUGGAGAUACAGCAAAACAUGGGCUUCUGUCUGUAAUACAUCACUGUUAGAAUAAAGCUUGGUUUCAUGUGUUGGUGACUUGUAUUUAUUUGUCAUGAUUACUCAUAUUCAUUCUUUUAAUAAUAUAAUUAUGUUUCUGUUUGUUUUCAAUAAAUAAUGAUAAUACUUUC